rnacentral:rRNA from 1 species
AGAGCGAACGCUGGCGGCAGGCCUAACACAUGCAAGUCGAACGGACUCUUCGGAGUUAGUGGCGGACGGGUGAGUAACACGUGGGAACGUGCCUUUAGGUUCGGAAUAGCUCCUGGAAACGGGUGGUAAUACCGAAUGUGCCCUUCGGGGGAAAGAUUUAUCGCCAUUAGAGCGGCCCGCGUCUGAUUAGCUAGUUGGUGAGGUAAAGGCUCACCAAGGCUACGAUCAGUAGCUGGUCUGAGAGGAUGACCAGCCACAUUGGGACUGAGACACGGCCCAAACUCCUACGGGAGGCAGCAGUGGGGAAUCUUGCGCAAUGGGCGAAAGCCUGACGCAGCCAUGCCGCGUGAAUGAUGAAGUCUUAGGAUUGUAAAAUUCUUUCACCGGGACGAUAAUGACGGUACCCGGAGAAGAAGCCCCGGCUAACUUCGUGCUAGCAGCCGC